CCCAUCAGUGAGUUAAUGCGCUGGCUAUAGCUACAUUAGUUCAGGAGUCAGAAGCAGCAGUGAAAGGUUUAAUACAAUAUAGCAGAAGCCCAUCAGUGAGUUAAUGCGCUGGCUAUAGCUACAUUAGUUCAGGAGUCAGAAGCAGCAGUGAAAGGUUUAAUACAAUAUAGCAGAAGCCCAUCAGUGAGUUAAUGCGCUGGCUAUAGCUACAUUAGUUCAGGAGUCAGAAGCAGCAGUGAAAGGUU